GUGCCAGCAGCCGCGGUAAUACGAAGGGGGCUAGCGUUGUUCGGAUUUACUGGGCGUAAAGCGCACGUAGGCGGACUAUUAAGUCAGGGGUGAAAUCCCGGGGCUCAACCCCGGAACUGCCUUUGAUACUGGUAGUCUUGAGUUCGAGAGAGGUGAGUGGAAUUCCGAGUGUAGAGGUGAAAUUCGUAGAUAUUCGGAGGAACACCAGUGGCGAAGGCGGCUCACUGGCUCGAUACUGACGCUGAGGUGCGAAAGCGUGGGGAGCAAACAGGAUUAGAAACCCCUGUAGUCC
rnacentral:rRNA from 1 species